AGAGUUUGAUCCUGGCUCAGAUUGGACGCUGGCGGCAUGCCUUACACAUGCAAGUCGAACGGUAACAGGGAGCUUGCUCCGCUGACGAGUGGCGAACGGGUGAGUAAUAUAUCGGAACGUACCAUUCAGUGGGGGAUAACGUAGCGAAAGUUACGCUAAUACCGCAUAUUCUGUGAGCAGGAAAGCAGGGGAUCGCAAGACCUUGCGCUGAUUGAGCGGCCGAUAUCAGAUUAGCUUGUUGGUGAGGUAAAAGCUCACCAAGGCGACGAUCUGUAGCGGGUCUGAGAGGAUGAUCCGCCACACUGGAACUGAGACACGGUCCAGACUCCUACGGGAGGCAGCAGUGGGGAAUUUUGGACAAUGGGGGCAACCCUGAUCCAGCCAUGCCGCGUGAGUGAAGAAGGCCUUCGGGUUGUAAAGCUCUUUCAGCCGGGAAGAAAACGCAUGGGUUAAUACCCUGUGUGGAUGACGGUACCGGAAUAAGAAGCACCGGCUAACUACGUGCCAGCAGCCGCGGUAAUACGUAGGGUGCGAGCGUUAAUCGGAAUUACUGGGCGUAAAGCGUGCGCAGGCGGUUUUGUAAGACAGGCGUGAAAUCCCCGGGCUUAACCUGGGAACUGCGUUUGUGACUGCAAGGCUAGAGUACGGCAGAGGGGGGUGGAAUUCCACGUGUAGCAGUGAAAUGCGUAGAGAUGUGGAGGAACGCCAAUGGCGAAGGCAGCCCCCUGGGUCGAUGCUGACGCUCAUGCACGAAAGCGUGGGUAGCAAACAGGAUUAGAUACCCUGGUAGUCCACGCCCUAAACGAUGUCAACUAGGUGUUGGGAGGGUAAAACCUUUUAGUACCGGAGCUAACGCGUGAAGUUGACCGCCUGGGGAGUACGGCCGCAAGGUUAAAACUCAAAGGAAUUGACGGGGACCCGCACAAGCGGUGGAUGAUGUGGAUUAAUUCGAUGCAACGCGAAAAACCUUACCUACCCUUGACAUGCCAAGAACUUUCCAGAGAUGGAUUGGUGCCCGAAAGGGAACUUGGACACAGGUGCUGCAUGGCUGUCGUCAGCUCGUGUCGUGAGAUGUUGGGUUAAGUCCCGCAACGAGCGCAACCCUUGUCGUUAAUUGCCAUCAUUUAGUUGGGCACUUUAACGAGACUGCCGGUGACAAACCGGAGGAAGGUGGGGAUGACGUCAAGUCCUCAUGGCCCUUAUGGGUAGGGCUUCACACGUCAUACAAUGGUCGGUACAAAGGGUCGCCAAGCCGCGAGGUGGAGCCAAUCCCAGAAAGCCGAUCGUAGUCCGGAUCGCAGUCUGCAACUCGACUGCGUGAAGU
rnacentral:rRNA from 1 species